rnacentral:lncRNA from 1 species
UCGUCACGGCUCCGACGGCUCCUCCCGCCGAGGACGCGGUCGGACGUGACGGGGCGGUGAAGUCGCUCCCCUCCUUCCCCCGUUCUCACAACUCCCCAGAGUCGCUGGGGGCGAAUCCGGUUUUCGGGACGUGAGUUGCUCAGGAGGAGCGAGCUUCCGGGCUUGCCGAGCCUCGCAGCAACUGCUCUUCCUCCUCCUCCUCGAGCCGCUCGUGGUCUCUCCGGUCCGGACACCGGCUCCUCCGAGCCGGGGGGAGCGGGGCAGGGCGGGAAGCGCCCUCUUAACUCGCUCUUCCMUGCCAGAACGGAGAUGGGUUUGUCGAUACCGACGCCAAGCUCCAGAAGAUCGUGGCAGCCAUCAAAGCGGCCUUGGCCUAGGAGCAGGGAAAUGUCCUGACGGAUCGUCGCGCAGCAAAGCUUAACGAGCAGCCGCCUCGUUCAAGUCGGCCGAGCGCUCCAUGACGG